UAGCAAGAUGCUGGACAAAGUCCCUGCUUU
rnacentral:piRNA from 1 species